GGAAACGGAGAGUAAUACCUUAUACGCCCUUUGGGGGAAAGAUUUAUCGGAGAAGGAUUAGCCCGCGUUAGAUUAGGUAGUUGGUGGGGUAAUGGCCUACCAAGCCUACGAUCUAUAGCUGGUUUGAGAGGAUGAUCAGCCACACUGGGACUGAGACACGGCCCAGACUCCUACGGGAGGCAGCAGUAGGGAAUCUUAGACAAUGGGGGCAACCCUGAUCUAGCCAUGCCGCGUGUGUGAUGAAGGCCCUAGGGUCGUAAAGCACUUUCGCCAGAGAUGAUAAUGACAGUAUCUGGUAAAGAAACCCCGGCUAACUCCGUGCCAGCAGCCGCGGUAAUACGGAGGGGGUUAGCGUUGUUCGGAAUUACUGGGCGUAAAGCGCACGUAGGCGGAUUAGUAAGUUAGAGGUGAAAUCCCAGGGCUCAACCCUGGAACUGCCUUUAAUACUGCUAGUCUUGAGUUCGAGAGAGGUAAGUGGAAUUCCGAGUGUAGAGGUGAAAUUCGUAGAUAUUCGGAGGAACACCAGUGGCGAAGGCGGCUUACUGGCUCGAUACUGACGCUGAGGUGCGAAAGUGUGGGGAGCAAACAGGAUUAGAUACCCUGGUAGUCCACACCGUAAACGAUGAAUG
rnacentral:rRNA from 1 species